GCGGGAUUAGUAUAGUGGUAGUACGUGACCUUCCCAAGGUCAAAGUGCCGGUUCGAUUCCGGUAUCCCGCU
rnacentral:tRNA from 1 species